AAAACCUGUAGGAAGAACAAUGUGAAUGGAAGGAUUAAGAUAAAGAAGAAGAGCAGUUUGGGCUAUGAAAGGCAGAAUAAAUGUCUGAACAAAUGAGGAGAUGAGGAACCACUGGAAUAUUCACUGCAAGCACUUGAGAGGGAGAGUUCACUGCUACUGCAGCUGCUCCGAGGAUACAGGCGGCUAGAGCCUGUCAUAUUUAAUUGACUCUGGCAUUUCAAGACAGGUAUGCUGGAUUUCACAUUCUGCUGGCAUUCCUAAAAUAUGAGAAGAAAUUGAAAUAUCUUAUGGGAAGAAAAUGAUCAUUUAACUUCUCCUUGAUUAAGAAUGGCAAAGAAAAAGCAAUGUUUCAAUUCAGAGAUCAGCUUUAUGGCUCUUCCCUGACACCAGACUUCAGAGGAGAAAAGGAGGUUCCAGAUGAGGGGAGCAAGGGCAGCACAAACACUCACGAGCAUCUGAGCAUCAGCACUUCGAGUUUGCACCAGGCUUCGGCUCCGUUCUACUUCUGAAAGCAAAUCCCCAGAUGAGAGGUCCAAGAUGCGUGAAUGGAGUUUCUGGGGGGGCAGAAGGGAAGGAGCAAAGCAUGAACAUUUGUCAGAUAUUCAGCGGAUCAGCAUUUUCAAAAUUCCAAACUCUGCUGUUAAAUUUCAAGGGAAAUGAAGAGCCUGAGGUAAAAGAGGAUUUGUUCUAAUUUGAAAUGUUGUUCUUUGUGCUUACUUUGUCCAAGACUUCCUGUCUGGAGGACAGAUCAUCCUUCAUCCAAAACAAACUCUACUUUUUCUUCUAGUCACUGCUUUGCAACUUAUCAUUACUUCACACUCAACAAUAACAAAUGAACACAAGUCCCACCAUUAUCCACAGAGUUUGACAGGUUUCAGGAAAAAAAGCAUAAAAAUGAACUAAAAAAUUAACAUUUAUAAAUCAAUCAACAUGUUAAUGUUGUUUUAUUUACGAGCUGUUAUACCUUGCAUGAAUGAUUGCAAAAGUGACCCUAUUUUUAACCAGCAUUGAUCUGCUGAAGGCCUCCUCUGCACACAUUUUAACUCAAAGUCAUUAAUGUCAUCUGUUAGGAACAAUUAAUGUGAAUAGAAAAUAAUUGCAUCAGGGAACUGGGGACUCAGAGGAUUUUGUGCAUUAAUAUUCACAUGCUGUUCGAUUAUAUACACAGUUUUUCUCAGUUUUGCUUGGAAGGAUGGCUAAGCUGGUGCCUUUCCCUCCAUGUUCACCUGUACACUAAUUCUAGGGCUUUCAGCCUGCAUUAAGCCUGGUUUGGUUUAAUUGCAGUUUCAAUAAAAUCCAUGAUUUAUGUGAAUGCCUCAGCCAAUGACUUCGAAAGAAAAAAUAUCUGCAGUCUUGUUAGUCCUGGGCCAGCACACCAUGUAACAGGCAGUAUGGAUCUGACUCAGGCUCCAUUGAAAUCAAUGCAAAUGGACUAAAAAAAUGAAACUCAAGAAACAAGGACUUUGAACCAGGCACUUUUCACUUUCCCAUUAAUUCUCUAGGCUUGCAACCUAAGAGACCACAUCUACCCCUCUGAGCUUGGAGGAACAAAUGGUGCAGACCCUGGCAGGUGCUUUGCCAGAGCAAAAUCUGUGGGAUGCAAACCACAGAGAUUUGUCCAGGCUGUGUGAGUGCCCUAUCACCCUGUCCGUCCAAAAAGACUGGCCAAAGUGGGAAAAAGAAUCUGUAGCCAGAAGAGCCUUCCCACAGUGUGGUAGUAGCUCUCUGCAGGGCCCUGAAAUGCAAGUCACACAGUAUCUUACACCCAGCUGCUCCCCAGCCUGCUCUCUGGGUACCCACUGCAGAAAUUAAUCUGCCAGAGAACAAAGCAGGCAGCUAUUCCUACAGCCUCUGUUAUCUGCAUGCUCUGCUUCAGGCUUCUAUUCCAGACAAUCUAGGAAAUUUUUUUAAAAACUUCCAAUUAUGAAUUUGGGAGUAAUUUCUCAAGAGUUACUUAUUCAUCCAGGUUUAUUAAAGAGGUACUGUCUGUUGCAGAGAGGUUAUGGAAAAUAUUUUCAAUGAUCAAUAUUCUGUAUAAAUAUGUGUUAUCCAAUAUAUUGUUGAUUAGAUUAAAUAAAAUGCUGCAAGUACUCAGUAUCCAAGACACUUUUCAUUACAAAUAUUAACUACAUCCAGGCUAUGUGCUCUUAACAUCAGUGGUGUCUGGUUAUUCAGCAUGCACCCUUCAAAGUUCUACCACUGGUAUUACUGUCAGGUGUUUGUUAAA